UUAAGAAUCUUGCACAAUGGGGGCAACCCUGAUGCAGCGACGCCGCGUGAAUGAUGAAGGCCUUCGGGUUGUAAAGUUCAGUAAGCAGGGAAGAAUAAGCAAGAGGUAAUAUUUCUUGUGAUGACGGUACCUGCCUAAAGCCCCGGCUAACUACGUGCCAGCAGCCGCGGUAAUACGUAUGGGGCAAGCGUUGUUCGGAAUUAUUGGGCGUAAAGGGCGUCUAGGCGGGGGAUUAAGUUAGAUGUGAAAGCUAUGGGCUCAACCCAUAAAUUGCAUCUAAGACUGGUUCUCUUGAGUUUGGGAGAGGAGAGCGGAAUUCCAGGUGUAGCGGUGAAAUGCGUAGAUAUCUGGAAGAACACCAGUGGCGAAGGCGGCUCUCUGGCCUAGGACUGACGCUGAAGCGCGAAAGCGUGGGGAGCAAACA
rnacentral:rRNA from 1 species